rnacentral:rRNA from 1 species
AUUGAACGCUGGCGGCAGGCCUAACACAUGCAAGUCGAGCGGAUGAAGGGAGCUUGCUCCUGGAUUCAGCGGCGGACGGGUGAGUAAUGCCUAGGAAUCUGCCUGGUAGUGGGGGAUAACGUCCGGAAACGGGCGCUAAUACCGCAUACGUCCUGAGGGAGAAAGUGGGGGAUCUUCGGACCUCACGCUAUCAGAUGAGCCUAGGUCGGAUUAGCUAGUUGGUGGGGUAAAGGCCUACCAAGGCGACGAUCCGUAACUGGUCUGAGAGGAUGAUCAGUCAAACUGGAACUGGGAGAAGGUGCAGGCUCCUACGGGGGGGCGGCGUGGGGAAUGUUGGGCAAUGGGGGGAAGGCUGGUCCAGCCAUGCCGCGUGUGUGAAGAAGGUCUUCGGAUUGUAAAGCACUUUAAGUUGGGAGGAAGGGCAGUAAGUUAAUACCUUGCUGUUUUGACGUUACCAACAGAAUAAGCACCGGCUAACUUCGUG